UCGACCUCUUUCUGUUCUGACCGCUGGCACGAUCAGUUGUGCUUUAUUUAGCUGCAAUAAAUUUUGUUUAAAUUAUUAAAAGUGAAACACGUGUAUAUUUUCGUGUGCAAAUCGUGCUAUUGAGAAGCCAUCCUCAAGGAGGCUUUAUUAAAACCUUGUAAGAUCACCAUUUCACAGCGUUUAUCUGUUCCAUUUUGGAUUAUUUUUUGCUUCAAAGAAUAUUGUUGUAUGGCGACAAGAGCUAUUGUCUUGGUCGGCUCAUCCACAAUUAAACGUUGGAUUCAUCCCGUCAGAUAAUCAGGCGAAGCUGGAAUUUGAAUGCAGAAAUUAGCGACAAGGCAGAAUUUCAAUAGGCAGCAAACGUAGCAGCAGCAGCGGCGGAGAGAACUCGACUUUUACAAAGACUCCAGUGCCCUCCAAAAACCAGGAGAAAGAGCCACAUAUACUCGUAUAUGUGUACUAACGUUAACGAAUUUGGUUUCUUUAAAAUUCAGGCAGAAAUAUCAAUAUUACGAAUUUUUGCAUGCUUAACCUAAAAGCAGAGACCCUGUGCUUACAAAUUGCAUGUACAGCGCAAGUACAAAGUCCAACUUUAUUGGCAUAAUUUUAUCUAAGCAUCAGCUAUUAAUAGCAAUUGUUUAAAGUAACUGUAUUUUGGUUUGUGCAAAAGCAAAAGUUUUUCUUUAUCAAAAGUUCAAAAGUAAGAGAGCCUCUUACAUAGGCAUAUAAUUAAUUCAUACAUACAUAUAUAUUAGAGCAGGCAUUUGCAACUCAAUAAGUGCUGAGUUUGGAAAUAUUAAUAUCUUAAUUUUUUUUAUUUUUUUUUAUUGGAGAUCGAAAGUGUUGAAAUAGUACUGCUUGUAUAAAUUAAUUUUGAUCCCAUACUAACAUACACAGCAACAUCUGGAAACCAUGGAGGCCUUCAUCGGAUUUUUCAGAGGGUCAGUCAAACUUGCAUAUCUAUUUCUUGCUUAUUUUCGAUCAUCAAGUGUACAGGUUAAUAAGUAAAUUUCAAAUAUAUAAAAGUACGGCUUUUAAAGUUUUGGGGUCAAUGCCCUUGAAAGCUUUUCGUCAACGAUUAAACAUAUGAUGCCCAGCAUCACAGCUUUUUAGUUUCAAAGUUUGUUU